UACGUAGGUGGCAAGCGUUGUUCGGAAUUACUGGGCGUAAAGCGCACGUAGGCGGCUUUGUAAGUUAGAGGUGAAAGCCCGGGGCUCAACCCCGGAACUGCCUUUAAGACUGCAUCGCUUGAAUCCAGGAGAGGUGAGUGGAAUUCCGAGUGUAGAGGUGAAAUUCGUAGAUAUUCGGAAGAACACCAGUGGCGAAGGCGGCUCACUGGCCUGGUAUUGACGCUGAGGUGCGAAAGCGUGGGGAGCAAACAGG
rnacentral:rRNA from 1 species